rnacentral:rRNA from 1 species
ACUCCUGCGGGAGGCAGCAGUGGGGAAUUUUGGACAAUGGGCGAAAGCCUGAUCCAGCCAUGCCGCGUGCAGGAUGAAGGCCUUCGGGUUGUAAACUGCUUUUGUACGGAACGAAACGGCCUUUUCUAAUAAAGAGGGCUAAUGACGGUACCGUAAGAAUAAGCACCGGCUAACUACGUGCCAGCAGCCGCGGUAAUACGUAGGGUGCAAGCGUUAAUCGGAAUUACUGGGCGUAAAGCGUGCGCAGGCGGUUAUGUAAGACAGUUGUGAAAUCCCCGGGCUCAACCUGGGAACUGCAUCUGUGACUGCAUAGCUAGAGUACGGUAGAGGGGGAUGGAAUUCCGCGUGUAGCAGUGAAAUGCGUAGAUAUGCGGAGGAACACCGAUGGCGAAGGCAAUCCCCUGGACCUGUACUGACGCUCAUGCACGAAAGCGUGGGGAGCAAACAGGAUUAGAAACCCUUGUAGUCC